CAUGUGAACUUAUCACGGUGAUGGUAACCUGAGCUGGGGUGCACGGUGGCUUAGUGGUUAGCACAUUCACCUCACUCACACCUGCAGGGUCGGGGGUUUGAGUCCCGCCGGGGCCGUGUGUGUGUGUGCAGAGUUUGCAUGCUGUCGGGGUUUCCUCAGGUACUCCGGUUUCCUCCCCCAGUCCAAAGCAUGGUAGGCUGAUUGGUGUGUCUAAAGUGUCCGUAGUGUGUAUGUGAUUGUGCUCUGCAAUGGAUUGGCACCCUGUCCAGGGUGUUCCCCACCACCCACCGUGCUGGGUAACGCAUUGCAGCUUGAGACAUUCCAGAUGUGUCACUUAUCCUUCACCUGCUGUACUGUAGGGCUGGCUCUAAAAGUGUUGCGCAUCAUUAAAGGAACGUAGCAGCCAAUUGAAUCAACUUAUACACCACACGAAUCCGUCUUCCUUUCAUACAGCGGCAUAUUUUAACCGAACGACUGGUCUCGUUUGUCUUCGUUUAUGCGUUUACACUCAUGAAUAGUAAAUUUGUUCUGGAAAAGCUCGUUCAAACCAUUUACAGACGGUUCGAUCCAGCUUGAUAAAUGAGGCCUGGUUUUAGACCAGAAUACGUUGAUGAUGAAUUUGGAGAAGGAUGUUUUUUUUUUGUUUUUUUUUCAAGAUUUAUUGAUGCCAUGAAUAAAAGUAUGCUCCAAAAUGAAUCGUGUUUCAGACGUGUUUCAAUAAUGUUUUGUAUUUUGUCUUAUGAAAGGGAAGAAAACUUGCACUAAAUGAAAAGUCAAAAACGACGCCACAGUUUAUAUCCAUGUCCUUCGUACAGCAGGUACAGCAGGCCCACUGAGGCUCCUGAGUGACACCACUGACCUCUAGUGGCCAAGUCGGGACUAACUUUUCCACCAGAGUACUCUGUGUUGUAGCGGCAAUUUAAACAGGACAGAAUUUCCAUUAAAGGUGCAUUAGGUACAAGAUUACUUUUGUUUUUGUUCUUUUUCCUCAUGAUUAUAUCUGUAAUUAUUAAGUAGGUGGGUUUGACAUGUGAAUGUUUUGGUUUUUUCCCCCGCACACACUGCUUGAGAUGAGUGUGUUUGAUUAAGUAUUGCCGAAUACGUGUCCAUGGUUACCGCAUGACCUUUGAGAGAUGCUUUUGCGGCAUACAACACAAACGGUGAUGAAAGUCUUCAGAAACAGGGUGUAAUUACCGCAGAACCGCGUGUGACUGUGGGUUCUAAUGCUAGAAUGCCACUGUAACGUGAUCUCGGGGAAAUAACUUUAGCUAUCGCGAGAUCUAAAAAAAAAACAAACUACAACAAAAAAAGCAAGUUCUGCUCGUUUCUAUAGUAACACAGGGAACCGGUUAAAAACAGAGAGGAGUCUCAAGUGCAGGUUUUUCUACAAGGAAUCAGGUUUGCAGUGAGGACCAUCUUCAUCACACUGAAGUUCCUGGGACAUCAUGCUGCUCAAAAGCAACACUUUAAUAAGGUGGUUUCUGGUCUCGGUUCUGAUUGGAGGAGCUCUGAGCGCACCCGUUAUAGAAAGAGAGAUGGCUAAUGAGAACACACCUCUAGACUUGCUGUUCGACCCAGAGCCUGUUAGGGAUCAUUUUACUCUGAUGGAUGAUUAUGGAGUGAUACCAGUUCCACCUCAUGUGCCAUCAUAUAUCCUCAGGGCACAAGCUCAGACUAGUCCAGCUUAGAGGAAGAUUAAUUCCAUUUUUCCCCCAAAAAAACCAAGUCCUGAUCCCAGUCCCACUCUAUUAGAGACAAAGCUUGAUUCAGAACAUGACAUUAGAAAUGAAUGAUAAAUAA